rnacentral:tRNA from 1 species
GCGGAUAUGAUUGAAUAGUAAAAUUUCUUUUUGCCAAGGAGAAGAUACAAGUUUGAUUCCUGUUAUCUAUC